rnacentral:rRNA from 1 species
UAAAGCUCCUUCGACGAGUCGAGUAGUUUGGGAAUGCUGCUCAAAAUGGGAGGUAUAUUUCUUCUAAAGCUAAAUACCGGCCAGAGACCGAUAGCGCACAAGUAGAGUGAUCGAAAGAUGAAAAGCACUUUGAAAAGAGGGUUAAACAGCACGUGAAAUUGUUAAAAGGGAAGCGCUUGUGACCAGACUUGCGUCCGGUGAAUCACCCAGCUCUCGCGGCUGGGGCACUUCGCCGGCUCAGGCCAGCAUCAGCUCGCUGUCGGGGACAAAAGCUUCAGGAACGUAGCUCUCUUCGGGGGAGUGUUAUAGCCUGUUGCAUAAUACCCUUCGGCGGGCUGAGGUACGCGCUCCGCAAGGAUGCUGGCAUAAUGGUCAUCAGCGACCCGUCUUGAAACACGGACCAAGGAGUCAACCUUAUGUGCGAGUGUUCGGGUGUCAAACCCCUACGCGUAAUGAAAGUGAACGCAGGUGAGAGCUUCGGCGCAUCAUCGACCGAUCCUGAUGUUCUCGGAUGGAUUUGAGUAAGAGCAUAUAGGGUUGGACCCGAAAGAAGGUGAACUAUGCGUGUAUAGGGUGAAGCCAGAGGAAACUCUGGUGGAGGCUCGCAGCGGUUCUGACGUGCAAAUCGAUCGUCAAAUAUGCGCAUGGGGGCGAAAGACUAAUCGAACCUUCUAGUAGCUGGUUUCCGCCGAAGUUUCCCUCAGGAUAGCAGUGUUGAACUCAGUUUUAUGAGGUAAAGCGAAUGAUUAGGGACUCGGGGGCGCUAUAUUGCCUUCAUCCAUUCUCAAACUUUAAAUAUGUAAGAAGCCCUUGUUACUUAAUUGAACGUGGGCAUUCGAAUGUAUCAACACUAGUGGGCCAUUUUUGGUAAGCAGAACUGGCGAUGCGGGAUGAACCGAACGCGAGGUUAAGGUGCCAGAGUAGACGCUCAUCAGACACCACAAAAGGUGUUAGUACAUCUUGACAGCAGGACGGUGGCCAUGGAAGUCGGAAUCCGCUAAGGACUGUGUAACAACUCACCUGCCGAAUGUACUAGCCCUGAAAAUGGAUGGCGCUCAAGCGUCUCACCCAUACCUCGCCCUCAGUGUAGAAACGAUGCGCUGAGGAGUAGGCGGACGUGG